UUCCCCCUUCUUCCUACACCAUUUCUGUACCUGUGUUGCAGGACUUUUCCUCAGCUCAGCUAAAGAUGGGAUCCUUGUCUGUCCCACGGCCAUGAAAAUUUAGGUUCACAGACAGUUUGAAGGGGCGGAUUCUACAGUCUUCAGCCCUUUUGCUAACAUUCCCUGACUGCUUUCUCCUGGUGGCUCAAACAGCAACAGAGACAACGGCUAAACCAGAUAAGCUACAGAGAUUUGUUUUUUUCCGUAACCAAAAGUUUCUGGGGACAUAAGAUCAUUGCAAGUAGUCAUGUGUAGUCUUUUGGCUCAAAUGUAAAAUGCUAAGUUACGCAUUAGUUGUUGCAUAAAUUUGCAUAUUGAUAUAUACAAUCCCAACGACUUUAAUAGCAUCACAGAUUAGCAGAGACAGAUGCACACAGACACACACAGCCUGACAUUCAGAGACUCCCAGGCAGAGACAAACAGCCCAAGGAAAAAGUGGGGAUGGCUCACCAGGAGCAAGGACGAUUGGAAGGAACACAGGUUUUUAAGGGAAAGAUGGAGGGCCUGGGUGGGCAGAGGGUUCUCCCCAGCUCUUGCUUUAUGUAACCUUCUGGUCCUAGGCCCCCACUCCCAUGCCCUGUCCUUGGAACUUUCCACUUGAUCCUGAGCAGAGGGCAGGAGGGAUGAUUUACGUCGGUCUGGCAUGAAUCAGAAGAUCCUGAAGUACUAGAGUCCCAGAGGAGCAUUUAGGCUUGUUUUAAGAAAAGGAGAGGAAGAUUCUUAAAGGAUGAUAUUUCUGCUUGUUUGUUUUUUGUUUUGGUCUUUCACUCUUCUAUGGCAUCCAAAUAUAGAACUAAGGUCUUGGCUGUCUGCACACCUAGAAGCCUUUGGCACUCUGCCAGCAAGGAUCAGGCCCUGAAAGAAGAUUCCACACUGGUCUGAUUUGCAAACCAAAGCCCC
rnacentral:lncRNA from 10 species